AUACGUAGGGUGCGAGCGUUGUCCGGAAUUACUGGGCGUAAAGCGCUCGUAGGUGGUUUGUCGCGUCGUCUGUGAAAUUCCGGGGCUUAACUCCGGGCGUGCAGGCGAUACGGGCAUAACUUGAGUACUGUAGGGGAGACUGGAAUUCCUGGUGUAGCGGUGAAAUGCGCAGAUAUCAGGAAGAACACCGGUGGCGAAGGCGGCUAUCUGGACAGUAACUGACGCUGAGGCGCGAAAGCAUGGGUAGCGAACAGGAUUAGAUCCCCUGGUAGUCCAUGCCGUAAACGGUGGGCGCUAGGUGUAGGGGUCUUCCACGACUUCUGUGCCGUAGCUAACGCAUUAAGCGCCCCGCCUGGGGAGUACGGCCGCAAGGCUAAAACUCAAAGGAAUUGACGGGG
rnacentral:rRNA from 1 species